AUUGAACGCUGGCGGCAGGCCUAACACAUGCAAGUCGAGCGGAUGAAGGGAGCUUGCUCCUGGAUUCAGCGGCGGACGGGUGAGUAAUGCCUAGGAAUCUGCCUGGUAGUGGGGGAUAACGUCCGUAAACGGGCGCUAAUACCGCAUACGUCCUGAUGGAGAAAGUGGGGGAUCUUCGGACCUCACGCUAUCAGAUGAGCCUAGGUCGGAUUAGCUAGUUGGUGGGGUAAAGGCCUACCAAGGCGACGAUCCGUAACUGGUAUGAGAGGAUGAUCAGUCACACUGGAACUGAGACACGGACCAGACUCCUACGGGAGGCAGCAGUGGGGAAUAUUGGACAAUGGGCGAAAGCCUGAUCCAGCAAGGCCGCGUGUGUGAAGAAGGUCUUCGGAUUGCAAAGCACUUUAAGUUGGGAGGAAGGGCAGUAAGUUAAUACCUUGCUGUUUUGACGUUACCAACAGAAUAAGCACCGGCUAACUUCGUG
rnacentral:rRNA from 1 species